CUGGCUGGCCAGAGGAAGAAGGGGGCUGGGAGCCAUCGCUGGGGAGAGGGAUUCCUGAACACUUGGGCUUCCUGAAUGUCGCCACUGGCCAAGUUGUGAAGGGGAGACGGAGAAUGAGGGGGUGCUGGGGAAGAGAUUCAGGAGGAAGAGCGAAGCCAUCUUGUGAUUCUGGGCCUGGAUGUUGGCAGAGCGUGGGGAAUAGCUGGAGAGAAUGGGCGAUACUUGACGAGAAGGAGGCUCAACAGUUACCACCGGAGUGGCAGCUAGCCCUGGGGAGAUCAGCAGGCAUCAGUUGAAUACUCAUAAAUGUGCUGCCGAGCCGGAAGAGGAGCAGGAGCGUCAGCCCUAGAACCACUGCCAAAUACACUCACUGCUGAUGGACUUUAACCAGUUGCCCGACUUCAGCCAAACCAUGCCAGAGCCGGCAGUCAGCAGGCUGGGCCCCAGACCUCACUCUGCCAGGUGGCAUCAGCAGUGCUCCACCCCUCAUCAUCCUCUCCACUUGCUCCCUGUUCUUCCAUCCUCGACUUCUCCUCCUCAUUUCCUUUCUUCUCACUCCCUCCCUCCCCCAUCCUUCUAGGCAUCACCAUGGCAUCACAGCAGAGCAGAAACCUCAGGGAGAUAUUCACCCACCUCUCCCCGCCUGCCCUCCCCUCCGGAGGAGCCGAAGCUCCUGCCUCACAGCGCUCGCUGCUCCCCCACCCCAUCAUCUUGCUGUGUGUGUGGGGGGGUGGGAGUGCAGUGCUGAACUGAGGGUGAGGGGAAUGGGGUCCCUCCUGGGCUGGGACCCUUCUGAGACCAUAAGCAUGUCCCUUCUCCUUCCUGGG